rnacentral:rRNA from 1 species
GAUAAACGCUGGCGGCGUGCCUAAUGCAUGCAAGUCGAACGGUCUAGCCCUUCGGGGUUAGGUAGUGGCAAACGGGUGAGUAAGACGUGGGAAUUUGCCCUUGAGUGGGGAAUAACUGCUCGAAAGAGUAGCUAAUACCGCAUAAGCUAGAAAUAGUAAAGGCCCCUUAAAAGGUCGCUCAAGGAGAAGCCUGCGGCUGAUUAGCUAGUAGGUGGGGUAAAAGCCUACCUAGGCGAUGAUCAGUAGCUGGUCUGAGAGGAUGGUCAGCCACACUGGG